GCCUCUGGUCGGCAGGAACAGAAAUACUCACAUUCCAGUUCCAGUAAUCCCAGCAAAGUGCUCUGAUUGGCCCAACUUGAAUCAGCUCAGCUUUGGUGUUCUCUGACCGUCUAGCCGGAAUCCCCCAGCGUGAGUGGCUCUGGGCAGCUUCCUUGCACGAAUACAUCACAGUCUAUUCGUUCAUCCCCCUGCUGAUGGAAAAUUGGGUCGCUCCCCAGUUUGUCUGCCCAGAGCAGUACUGACUUCUUCUGGGUGGUUUUCGGUUUAUGGAAAAGUUGAGUGGAACGUGCAGAGCAUCCUCACCCACGUCCAGCACCCUGCACUGGUUCACAUUAGUGGAAACUCCCCGCUGCGCCUGGCAAUUUGGAUGUCAUCGAAAUCUGCCCCUCAGACGGCGGCUGGACACGGCUUGGCCCACGGGCUGGAGGGUCGGUCCCAUGGAGCGCACCCGAGGUCCAGAGCAGAGUGGGCACGGGGCUGGAGGCGGGCGUGAGGUGCCUCCCACAGCCCCUCCCUCCAGCCCCGGGAUGCGGGAGACCGGGGGGGCGCCCAGCCCUUUGCCCACUUAGGCUCCUUCUCCCUUACGAUGCGCCGCAGCCCUGGAGGUGGAGGUCGCCGGCCUGCUCCCCCGGUGAGAAAACCAGCUCUACUGGGACAGAAUCUUGCCCGCAGCGACCAGCCAGAGGGGAGCUCAGAGCCCCAGUCUUGGCCCGAGCCUUCCGUGGGGACGCCAGCUGUCCUCUCAAAGCUUGGGUGAGGCUGGGCCCCUCGGCCCGCCCGGGGUGGGCGUGGGAGUGGGGCUGCUCUGGCCCCCCUGCCGGGGACGUGUGCCUGGUUUGCCCACCCGCAAUCUCGCCAGUGGAGGAGCACCGAGGAGAUGCAGUUAAUGACUUAAGCUGCCUUCUCAUCACCCGCCAAGGGAUAAUCAGACUAAAUGGCGACCUUAGUUUUGUAAAAGCCAAUGAAAUAUACAU